ACACUCUUCAAACAAGGACAGCUGAAUGUCAACCAUUGUUGGAACGUUGCCAACGGAUAUAUGGAUGGUGUUAUACUCUUUAAAAAAAGUUCAAGGGGCUUCCCUGGUGGCGCAGUGGUUGAGAAUCUGCCUGCCAAUGCAGGGGACAUGGGUUCAAGCCCUGGUCUGGGAAGAUCCCACAUGCCGCAGAGCAACUGGGCCCAUGAGCCACAACUACUGUGCCUGUGCGUCUGGAGCCUGUGCUCGGCAACAAGAGAGGCCGCGACAGUGAGAGGCCCGCGCACCGCGAUGAAGAGUGGCCCCCAUUCGCCGCCAACUAGAGAAAGCCCUCCCACAGAAACGAAGACCCAACACAGCCAAUAAUAAAUAAAUAAAUAAAUAAAUUUAUUUUAAAAAAAAAGUUCAAGAUGUUCAAAAUGUUUUGAUGUUCAGAAAUGAGUUUUAGAGGAAAAAAGAAUACACCAGCAUAAAAGUGAGUACAAAAUAUUCUGAGUCUCUAGUGCCCUUGCUGGGAAGACAGGAAUGACUGAAGGGGUCGGCAGCAAUGAGGACCACCUGGGAGCAACAGAGCGGCAGCCCAGGACCGGGAGGAGACCCCAGUCCCAGAAAGAUAUACAAUCUCUCUGCCACCCAGCAAGACUCAAGUUUUAAAGACAUAGGCCAGGGCUUCCCUGGUGGCGCAGUGGUUGAGAGUCCGCCUGCCGAUGCAGGGGACACGGGUUCGUGCCCCAGUCCUGGAAGAUCCCACAUGCCGCGGAGCGGCUGGGCCUGUGAGCCAUGGCCGCUGAGCCUGCGCGUCCAGAGCCUGUGCUCCGCAACGGGAGAGGCCACAACAGUGAGGCCCGCAUACCGCAAAAAAAAAAAGACAUAGGCCAUACCAUCUCCACUGACUAGGCAGGGACACACAGUGAUGACAGUCUACUUGAAACUGACUGAAGCCCUCUUGGUGUGCAUCAAAUGGCUUGCAAAUAAUUUGUAUUCAGUGAGCUCUGGUUAAAGGACCCAAUCAGCCAAUCAGUGAGUUACCAAUCUCUCCUAAUAUCAGGUUUAUUCUACUACGACACUAAUAACUACAAAUAUACUUCUAAUAAAAAUUUUGUAUGCUAAAAUUAUUUUUCUUAAUAAAAAAUUUAAUGUCAUUCAGGUUGAGCCUGAACUCUAAACACCCCAACCUCAGAGGCGGGGAGAGGGAUUGGAGGCUGAACCAAUAACCAAAGGCCAAUGAUUUAAUCACUCAUGCCUACAUAAGGAAAUCUUCAUAAAAAUGCUAACAGAUGAGUUUCAGAGAGCUUCCGGGCUGCUGAACACCUGGAGGUGCUGGGAGGGUGUGGUACCCAGAGAGGGCACAGAAGCUCUGCACCACUUCCCACACACCUCAUCCCACGCACCUUCUCCAUCUGGCUGUUUCUGAAUUGUACCCUUUUACAAUAAACCAAUAAUCUAAUAAGUAAA